GACGAACGCUGGAGGCGUGCUUAACACAUGCAAGUCGAACGGAAAGGCCCUGCUUUUGUGGGGUGCUCGAGUGGCGAACGGGUGAGUAACACGUGAGUAACCUGCCCUUGACUUUGGGAUAACUUCAGGAAACUGGGGCUAAUACCGGAUAGGAGCUCCUGCUGCAUGGUGGGGGUUGGAAAGUUUCGGCGGUUGGGGAUGGACUCGCGGCUUAUCAGCUUGUUGGUGGGGUAGUGGCUUACCAAGGCUUUGACGGGUAGCCGGCCUGAGAGGGUGACCGGCCACAUUGGGACUGAGAUACGGCCCAGACUCCUACGGGAGGCAGCAGUGGGGAAUAUUGCACAAUGGGCGGAAGCCUGAUGCAGCAACGCCGCGUGCGGGAUGACGGCCUUCGGGUUGUAAACCGCUUUCGCCUGUGACGAAGCGUGAGUGACGGUAAUGGGUAAAGAAGCACCGGCUAACUACG
rnacentral:rRNA from 1 species